rnacentral:rRNA from 1 species
UCGAGAAACCUCCGCAAUGCGAGCAAUCGCGACGGGGGGACCCCAAGUGCCACUCUUAACGGGGUGGCUUUUCUUAAGUGUAAAAAGCUUUCGGAAUAAGGGCUGGGCAAGACCGGUGCCAGCCGCCGCGGUAACACCGGCGGCCCGAGUGGUGAUCGUGAUUAUUGGGUCUAAAGGGUCCGUAGCCGGUUUGGUCAGUCCUCCGGGAAAUCUGAUAGCUCAACUAUUAGGCUUUCGGGGGAUACUGCCAGACUUGGAACCGGGAGAGGUAAGAGGUACUACAGGGGUAGGAGUGAAAUCUUGUAAUCCUUGAAGGACCACCAGUGGCGUAGGCGUCUCACCAGAACGGACCUGACGGCAAGGGACGAAAGCUAGGGGCACGAACC